CGUCAAAGCUUAAUUCUGGGACCAAAAUUAUUUCAAACAUCCCAUAGAACCCCUAAACAGUACUAAAUAAUUCUAUAUAUUUAUAGAACCUAUUAUGCUAAAACUAGUAACAAGAAGAAACCUUCUCUUAUAUGUAAGUAUAAGUCAGAAUAGAAAACCUACUGACUCUUAACAGCAAUAAACCAUAGUAAUAACACACUUAGAAAACUCUACUUUUUUAACUGUUAACCUACACAAGAACAUAAAAAGAAAGAUUAAAAGAGAAAGAAGGAACUCGGCAAAUCCUGAUUCCGCCUGUUUACCAAAAACAUCGCCUCCUGCUAACCUAUAGGAGGUCCAGCCUGCCCGGUGACCUAGUUUAACGGCCGCGGUAUCCUAACCGUGCGAAGGUAGCGUAAUCACCUGUUUUUUAAUUGAAGACCUGUAUGAAAGGCAUCACGAGAAUCGCACUGUCUCCUUUCUCCAAUCAGUGAAACUAAUCUCCCCGUGAAAAAGCGGGGAUACUAAUACAAGACGAGAAGACCCUUUGGAGCUUAAGACAAAGUAAUAUUAUGCCCACCUUUAUAAACCUACUUACCAAAGCAUUUAUACUACAAGUCUUCGGUUGGGGCAACCGCGGAGUAAAAAUCACCCUCCAAGUUGAACGGAACUUUCCUAAACAACAAGACACAACUUUAUGUAUCAAUAAAUUGACAUUCAUGACCCAAUAUUUUUGAUUAUCGAACCAAGUUACCCUAGGGAUAACAGCGCAAUCCACUUCAAGAGUUCAUAUCGACAAGUGGGCUUACGACCUCG
rnacentral:rRNA from 1 species